UCCAUCACACGGAGGUUUCUCCCUGAAGUCUCUGCAGCUCUCUGGACAACACGCUGUCUCAAUCCGUCCACACUCAUUCACAAACUUAAGUCCAUGGUCC